AUGAAAGAAGCACGGGAGUUAUCUUAUGACAUCCAAGAUUGCAUUGACAAGUUUGUGCCCCCUGAGUCUCUUGGCUACAAAUCUGACAACAAGAUGACUCAUGUUAAGAUUCUCAAGAGACUCAAGUGGCAGAAACAGAUUGAAUAUGCAGCUCCUGAUGUGUCAGGACAUGUUAUCUCCAAAAUCAUUCGUGUCGAUGUCAUUCGUGCUCCCAGGAAGCUCGAGUGGUACCAGCAAAUGGUUGAAAAGGUAUCAGAAUUCAGGAUCUAUGCCCGGGAGGCGAUCCGACGGUACGAGAGGUACUGGCUCCAUUGUUGUAGGACCUCAGCGGCACGUAGAUUUUCAGCCAUUGGGCCUAUAAUGCCAAUGCCGCCACUGCCUUGUGAGAAAACUUGUUCCGGCCUAGUAAUUGAUGGUCGGAUGAGCAAGUUUAUUAACUCUCUGGCUAACGAUACGGAUCAGCAGCUCAAGGUGGUGUCUAUUCAUGGAUUUGGAUGUCUUGGUAGAACAAUGCUUGCCAAAGUGUUGUACAAUAAAAUUGGGAGGAAAUUCCAUUGCCGGGCUUUCGUCCGGGUGUCCAAAAAGCCUGAUAUGAAGAGGCUUUUCCGCGACAUGCUAUCACAAUUCCAGCGGAAGCAGCCCCAAGCAAGCCAAGACGCUUCUGAUGAACUUCGCAUUACUGCUGAAAAUAUCAGCAAUUGUCUACAUGGCAAAAGG
rnacentral:rRNA from 1 species